UACAGGGGGGGCAAGCGUUGUUCGGAAUUACUGGGCGUAAAGGGCUCGUAGGCGGCCAACUAAGUCCGACGUGAAAUCCCCAGGCUUAACCUGGGAACUGCGUCGGAUACUGGAUGGCUUGAAUUCGGGAGAGGGAUGCAGAAUUCCAGGUGUAGCGGUGAAAUGCGUAGAUAUCUGGAGGAAUACCGGUGGCGAAGGCGGCAUCCUGGACCGACAUUGACGCUGAUGAGCGAAAAGCUAGGGGAGCAAACGGG
rnacentral:rRNA from 1 species